rnacentral:rRNA from 1 species
UACAGAGGUCUCAAGCGUUGUUCGGAUUCAUUGGGCUUAAAGGGUGCGUAGGUGGCGCUGUAAGUCGGGGGUGAAAUUUCGGAGCUUAACUCCGAAACUGCAUUCGAUACUGCGGUGCUUGAGGACUGGAGAGGCGACUGGAAUUCAUGGUGUAGCAGUGAAAUGCGUAGAUAUCGUAAGGAAGACCAGUGGCGAAGGCGGGUCUCUGGAGAGUUACUGACGCUGAGGCACGAAGGCCAGGGGAGCAAACGGG